rnacentral:lncRNA from 1 species
CUCUGCGCUCACUUCUUCCCGACCCUGCCGGACUCCAGCUUGCGCGCCCGCUGGCAGCCCAAGGACAGUCCCGCCGCCCCACGGCGCUGGAGACGCUGCGGGGUUCAGUGUCCCUUCCUUCCGGAUCCGCGUUUGAAUCCCCCUUCCUCGGAUCCCUUACGCAGCCCAGAGCCCGGCGAUCUGGCUUCUUCCGUGGGCGGCCACUCUGUGACCCGAGCGGCGGCGCUUUGGCCCGAGGGUGGGCGCGACUUAGGGACGGCCAGCGUCCAGCCGGCGUGAGCGCAGCCCCUCCUCGCUGCAGCUGGGCACGUUGGGCGGCAGGAGAGGCUGCUGUGCUGCCUGGCUCUCCCUUUCUAAGCUCCCGGGUCUGCGAAAGUUUGGGGUGGGUUGUACUUUCUCUAGGUCGGUCUGUCCCACCUGGUACCCCACCCUACUUUCUGCCCGGCCCCUCACCCUUGUCGGCGCUAUGCUUUCUCUCCGGGCCCCCCACCUUGUAUAUUGCACGGGCUCCCUGGGUGGUUUUGCUCCCAGGGACACUGCCAUGCGUUCAGUCCUGGAGCCCGUGAAUCCAAGCCUGUGCUCUCGCUCCCGCCCGUGGAUUGCGUGAAAAUCAAUAGAGCACCACCCAGCUCGUGUUGGAAGGGACGCUCAGACAUCUCCGCCCACGGCAUUUUCCCUCUAGGAGAAGGGCGAUUCAGCUUCGCGCCUGAGCUGUUUAAGGACUGGAUCUGACCCUUUUCCUGAAGAUUGCCGGUGGGGCGUGCCAGUCUCUCGCCCGACCUUGGGAGGUGGACAAGGAGUGAUUUCAGAGUCGUUUCCCGACCUGCUGUGUGUUUGGCCUUUGGGUGGGAGGAAAAUACCCGACCUAGGCGCACCCAAAACGUUCCCUACAGUUGCAGGGGGGUUCUGGUUUCCCAAACCCCGGGACUCACGAAUCUCAAGAACAGCUGGCAGAAAGGACUGUCUGCUUGGGGGAAGGGGAGAGACCAACGCGGAGAGCCGUGGAGCUGCUUGUGGCCCCAGCCUUGGGUCACCCAGGACGCCCUUUCCGGAGCCGAGUUAAGGUCGCGGACCCUGGUAGGUGGCGAGGCUCCUGGGCGCUGGGAUGCUAGAAGCGCGCAGCCCUCCCCGCCCCGCGCAGGCCGCCGCCUCUUCCUCUCCAAAGCGGACUCACAGUGCCCCCUGGCGUCCGCGCGGCCCCGUUUUAAGGCGUUGUCCCUGUCCCCAAACUCAUUCUAUUCACCGGAAGGAAGUGGACUUUGUGACUUUAUACCGAUUCCCCUUUUAAGUACAGACGUUUUUGUCACGUUUAUCUUUAUAUUCCAAUACUAACUCACAAGGAUCUUUGAUUUUUUUUAAAGAAAAUAUUUCAGCAGUUUGAAUGAUGCUGCUAAGAAACAGAAAUUAUCAGCAAAUAUUUUUUGGAAAGUUACUCUAUGCCAGGCAUCUAUUCACAGAUCUAUACACAUGUGGUAAAUAGUAAUAUGCCAUAUCUUACAGAAGAAGAAAUUGAGACCUCAAAACUAAUUCGCCCACGAUCUCACUGUUCCCGAUGGAGCAAGGGGUUCGAAUUGUGGGGGGAUAAAUUUAGUAUCAGCCUUCAGCCGUCCAACUACUCACCUUCGAAUCACAGUCCCCCGCCUGUGCUGUGCUGUGCAACAUGUGAGGGUAAAAAAUGCGCAGGUUGUAAGAGGUGAGGUUUUUUGUUUGUUUUUGUUUGUUUGUGGGUUUUUGUUUGGUUUUGGACUGGAAAACUUAAAGCUCAAGAGUUUUUUUGUCUUUUUUUCUUUCUUUCUUUCUCUCUCUCUCUCUCUCUCUUUUUUUCUUUAACAGAGUCUCUCUCUGUCGCCCAGGCUGGAGUACAGUGGCGUGAUCUCGGCUCACUGCAACCUUCGCCUCCUGGGUUCAAGUGAUUCUCCUGCCUCAGCCACCUGAGUAGCUGGGACUACAGGCGCCUGCCACCACGCCCGGCUAAUUUUUGUAAUUUUAGUAGAAACGGGGUUUCGUCAUGUUAUCCAGGCUGGUCUGGAUCUCCUGACCUCAGGUGAUCCGCCCACCUCGGCCUCCCAAAGUGCUGGGAUAACAGGCAAGAACCACCGUGGCCGGCCUAAAGCUCAGGAGUUUUAUUGUAUUUUCUUUCCCAAGCUGUAUGAAAAGUCCAACAGCACUGUUCUGUCGUUCUUUGCCUUCUUAUAUGUGACCUUUUCCCCUCUGGGGGCUUAAAAAUAUUCAUCUUGUCUUAUAAAUCCUCAGUGAAGGCAAUGAGUAUUUUUAUUUCCGUUUUACCAUUAGGGAUACUGGUUGGGGGAAGAUGAAUGACUUGCCCAAGGUCAUAUAGUAAAUCAGGACACAGACAAGAUCAAGCUUGCCCUGUCAAAGUGCUUCCCUGACAGGCAGCAGUGAUCCUCCUUUAUUUAUGUGCAAAGUACUCUCCAAUUAGGAAAUUAAGCAUCCUGGUGCUCUCUUUGGAAGGGAAGCCUUUUAUAAAUUCAUCACUUGUUAAUCAGUCAUAAAUAAAACCUACUCACUUUUGACCUCUAGAGGAAACCUGCUAUCUGGAGAUUUCACUAAUCCGAGCUAUGGAAACUUUUUUUCCCCCAGGUUUCCCUUCUAUUUCUCUUGUACAUUUCUAUACUUACUCGAGUCCUCUUUGGGUGAACCAUUGACGCACUGUAUCUUUCCAUUGCUUGCCUUAGCAUAUUGAACCUCUUAAUAGAUUUCAUUCUAGAGGCUACUAUGCUAAAAUGUGUCUAUCUCUGUGGAGACUAAAGGCUAAAGUUCAAAGUGACACUGGCAAGAAUGAUUGGCUAAUUUUAAGAUUUAGAACUGUAGCCUUUUAGAGCUAGAGGCCACUGGAGAUCAUACCCAGCAUCUAGAUCUGCAUGGAGGAAGCCAAGGCCCAGAGAGGUCAAGUUCCUUACCUAAAGUUACACAGCUAGUUUGUGACACAACUGGGACAAGAACCCAGAUCUGCUUCCUCACAUUGCUCUUUGCAAUGUACUGCAUUACCUCAUUUUUGCUGCAAGCCCUUGGCCACUGUCAAAAUCAUUCAUUUACUCAUCAAAUGUUUAUUAAGUAGGCACUUCAGUGCCAGGCACUGAAGCAAAAAAAGAAGAGUUUUCCUUCAUUAAUUGGAACAGGAGAGACUUCAGCAUUUUAAAUAUGUAGAGAAUAAACUGACAGCUUUUUAAAAUAUGUUAGCUCCUGAAUGGUAAAGGUUACAAAGAUAUAAAGCAGUGUUUUCUUCUAUCUGUAAUAUUAUCCAAAUUCUGUGAUCAUAAUAUUAGCCAACAUUUAAAAUGAAACUGUAUUUGAAAUCCAGACAAAAAUGUACUUUGAAAAUGCAAGUGGCUACUCUGUUCCUAGUCACAUCCUUAGAACACACAAUUGAUUCAGAAAACGUUGUCAACUACCUCUAAUUUUGUGUUACUUUUGAUUAUCAUUGCUUUGUUCGAGCUUUUUUCUGUAUAUAAAAAUUUUCCAAAUAUUUGUCAUGCUGAUUAUUAUUUAAUAUGUUUGGGGUCACACUUACUUUUGCAGAGGGGAUGUCUUGCCUAAUGAAAAUCAAUGG